GACGAACGCUGGCGGCGUGCUUAACACAUGCAAGUCGAACGGUGAACUCCGCUUGCGGGGGGAUCAGUGGCGAACGGGUGAGUAACACGUGGGCAACCUGCCCUCAGCUCUGGGAUAACUCCAAGAAAUUGGGGCUAAUACCGGAUAUGACCGCUGACCGCAUGGUCUGGUGGUGGAAAGAUUUAUCGGCUGGGGAUGGGCCCGCGGCCUAUCAGCUUGUUGGUGGGGUAGUGGCCUACCAAGGCGACGACGGGUAGCCGGCCUGAGAGGGUGACCGGCCACACUGGGACUGAGACACGGCCCAGACUCCUACGGGAGGCAGCAGUGGGGAAUAUUGCGCAAUGGGCGAAAGCCUGACGAAGCGACGCCGCGUGGGGGAUGACGGCCUUCGGGUUGUAAACCUCUUUCAGCAGGGACGAAGCGAAAGUGAGGGUACCUGAAGAAGAAGCACGGGCCAACUACGUG
rnacentral:rRNA from 1 species